CCUACGGGUGGCAGCAGUGAGGAAUAUUGGUCAAUGGCCGCAGGGCUGAACCAGCCAAGUCGCGUGAGGGAUGACGGUCCUAUGGAUUGUAAACCUCUUUUGUCAGGGAGCAAAGGGCGCCACGUGUGGCGCUUUGCGAGUACCUGAAGAAAAAGCAUCGGCUAACUACGUGCCAGCAGCCGCGGUAAUACGGAGGAUGCGAGCGUUAUCCGGAUUUAUUGGGGUAAAAGGGUGCGCAGGCGGAAUGUCAAGUCAGCGGUAAAAUUUCGGGGCUCAACCCCGUCGUGCCGUUGAGACUGGCGUGCUAGAGUGAGGGAGAGGUGUGCGGAAUGCGUGGUGUAGCGGUGAAAUGCAUAGAUAUGACGCAGAACUCCGAUUGCGAAGGCAGCAUAUCGGCGCUCAACUGACGCUCAGGCACGAAAGCGUGGGGAUCGAACAGGAUUAGAGACCCGUGUAGUC
rnacentral:rRNA from 1 species